rnacentral:rRNA from 1 species
GAUGAACGCUGGCGGCGUGCCUAAUACAUGCAAGUCGAGCGACCGGACGAGGCUCUUCCUGCUCUGAUGUUACCGACGGAUGGGUAACUCACACGUAGCCAACCCCCCUAACCGACUCGGCCCACUUCAACAAGCCCUAAUUACUAACGGGUAAACUUUACAACGGCAUGGUUCAUAAAUGAAACAUCGUCCUCCGUUUCGUGAUAGGUCGACCCGCGCUGCAUUAGUUAGUUGGUAAGGUAACGGCUUACCAAGGCAGCGAUGGGUAGCCGGCCUGAGAGGGUGAUCGGCCACACUGGAACUGAGACACGGCCCAGACUCCUACGGGAGGCAGCAGUGGGGAAUCUUGCGCAAUGGGCGAAAGCCUGACGGAGCAACGCCGCGUGGGUGAAGAAGGUCUUCGGGUCGUAAAACUCUGUUAGGAGGGAAGAACGUAUGUGUAUGAAACGGUGCACGGCUUGACGGUACCUAAACAGAAAGCCACGGCUAACUACGUG